UACGGAGGGGGCUAGCGUUGUUCGGAAUUACUGGGCGUAAAGCGCACGUAGGCGGCUUUGUAAGUCAGAGGUGAAAGCCCGGAGCUUAACUCCGGAAUUGCCUUUGAGACUGCAUCGCUUGAAUCCAGGAGAGGUGAGUGGAAUUCCGAGUGUAGAGGUGAAAUUCGUAGAUAUUCGGAAGAACACCGGUGGCGAAGGCGGCUCACUGGACUGGUAUUGACGCUGAGGUGCGAAAGCGUGGGGAGCAAACAGG
rnacentral:rRNA from 1 species